GAUGAACGCUGGCGGCGUGCUUAACACAUGCAAGUCGAACGAAGCACUUUAUUUGAUUUCCUUCGGGACUGAUUAUUUUGUGACUGAGUGGCGGACGGGUGAGUAACGCGUGGGUAACCUGCCUUGUACAGGGGGAUAACAGUUGGGAAACGGCUGCUAAUACCGCAUAAGCGCACAGCAUCGCAUGAUGCAGUGUGAAAAACUCCGGUGGUAUAAGAUGGACCCGCGUUGGAUUAGCUAGUUGGUGAGGUAACGGCCCACCAAGGCGACGAUCCAUAGCCGACCUGAGAGGGUGACCGGCCACAUUGGGACUGAGACACGGCCCAAACUCCUACGGGAGGCAGCAGUGGGGAAUAUUGCACAAUGGGCGAAAGCCUGAUGCAGCGACGCCGCGUGAGCGAAGAAGUAUUUCGGUAUGUAAAGCUCUAUCAGCAGGGAAGAUAAUGACGGUACCUGACUAAGAAGCACCGGCUAAAUACGUG
rnacentral:rRNA from 1 species